CACAGUUCAAGCUGGAGGUCUCGGCAGCAGGAUAACUGAACAGUUCCCAUCAUUCAGAACCCAUAUACUUCUCUUGCAAAGACAAGAUGCCAUACAAUUAGAGACGGGGAAGAUUAAGUGGGGAGGACAUGUACUUUCACAUCCUUUCUUCUAUGGAAGAAUUGACACCAGCUAUUGUUGAAACUAUCAGUGCUAAAGCCACGACUAUCCAAGCGACCAAGGUUGGUUUUCCUAAAAAUGGACUAUGAAAUCAGAAAUGCACAGAGCAUGAACCAAAUUUCUCCCUGAAGAUACAAGGACUCUGGAAGCCAUUAAGCAAGAAACUGAGAAGAACUCAAUUAAAGAAAAGAUAAAUGAAAGAACUACAUUCGAUGUGCAAGGGAAAGAAAAAAUACAAAUCAUACAAGCAAUUCAAGGGAGUAACAUUCCGAAACCAAAACCGUGCCCUCAGAUCUAAACCCUGGAGCAGCCCAGAACAGACCCAAAGCCACAAUUAUCAGAUCAUCAUUUUAGCAGGCCCAGAGCUCAGCAGCUGGAGCAGUCCUCAUUGCUUCAGCACCAUGGAGAGAGGAGUGACCCACACAGGGAACGAGCGAUAUUGGCUCUCGCCCCAGAUCCUGACACCCCAUCUUUUCAGUCCAUCUUUGUCGGCAUUUAAAUUGACCAAACAAUGAAACAGACAAAGUCUCCGGUGCCCUGGAGAAGCAAGUGAAAUCUGUCACCUCCAAACUGGGCUAGAAAUUAAAUUGGAUUGGGGCCUAGACCAAGUCCCCAAGCAGGCCCUGAUUGCACCGCCCAGCCCCAAAGCUGCUCUCAGGCUCUCAAAUCAGCUCAGCACCCAGAACGAUCCUGCUUCUCACAUGGGCCAGUUGUGUGGGCAUCAAAUCUCUUCUGCUCAGGCCCCUACUUCUCCUCCCCCUUCAAUGUUUGCGGCAAUAAUUUAACAUAAUUUACCUCAGAAAAGGUGCUUUUAGUGCUGCAUAUAAAUCAGAUUUCUUACAUUUUUAACUAUCAGUGAGCUGCCACAAGUGUCCAGUGGCACCAUCUUAACUGGCAGACUUGGAUCACAUUUUAUGGCAAUAUUUUCAAUUAAUUUCUUAUCAACUGAACCCUUCGUUAUUUUUUAUGUGUAUUAAGAUACUUCAUUUCAUUGGAAAGAACUUUUUGAACCAAGAUUCCAACUAAAUGUAAGUAGCAAUUGUUCAUUUACCUCACUCAAUCUUUCCAACAGUGUUGCAAUUUGCACUCCGCAAAUGAAUGCAAAUUGAGGUGAUAUUACUUUUCCAACCAGUUGAAAUAAAGUUUUGAAAACACAGAUUAUUUAAUAAAUUAGCCAGAACAUUGGAUAUAGCACUGAAAUCAGGGAUAACUAUAUUGAUAUAUAUUCAAGCUCAUAAAUUUUGGAAUUUCUAGAAAUAUCUGUCAAUUACUUAGAACCAUAUCGAUGAGACUUUAAUAACUAGUGUUGCACGAUGAGCAUUGCAUAUCAUUAACUUCAUAGAAUAAAUACUGACUGUGUUAUUUCCUGGCACUCAUUCUGAGAUUGGAAGCUUCUGAGCUUUGGAAGACUACCUAUUAAACCCACUUAAUAGUGCAGAAGUACCAACUACAGCUGCCUCAUUUGGCAGCCUAACACAAGGCAGAUGUAGUACUGUUUUUGAGAUCAUUCCUGCAUAGUAGAUUUUGAAUUAGCAUUUCCAUAUCAGCUGUCUUAGGUGGGCCUAAAUAGAAAAAAAGGCAAACAAGAGAAAAUCUGCAGAUGCUGGAAAUCUGAGUAACACACACAAAAUACUGGAGGAACUCAGCAGGCCAGGCAGCAUCUAUGGAAGAGAGUACAGUCAAACUGGAGAAAACUAGAUGAGGGGUAGAGUUAAAAGGUGCGGGGCAGGCAGUGACACAAGGUGAUAGGUAAAACGAGGAGGGGGAGGGGUGAAGCAAAGAGCUGGAAAGUUAAUUGGUGAAAAAGAUACAGGGCUGGAGAAGGGGGAAUCUAAUAGGAGAGGACAGAAGGCCAUGGAAGAAAGAAAAAGGGGCGGAACACCAGAGGGAGGUGAUGGGCAGGUAAGGAGAUAAGGUGAGAGAGGGACAAGAGGAUGGGGAAUGGUGAGGUUGGGAGAGGGAGCCAUUACUGGCAGUUAGAGAAGUCAAUGUUCAUGCCAUCAGGUUGGAGGCUUCCCAGACAGAAUAUAAGGUGUUGUUCCUCCAACCUGAACGUGGCCUCAUCACGACAGUGGAGGAGUCCAUGGAUAGACAUAUCAGAAUGAGAAUAGAAGUGGAAUUAAAAUGGGUGGCCACAGGGAGAUCCUAGUUCUUCUGGCAGACAGAGCGGAGGUGCUCAGCGAAACAGUCUCCCAAUCUACGUUGGCUCUCACUGAUAUACAAGAGGCCACACCGGGAGCACUGGACACAGUAUAUGACCCCAACAGACUCACAAGUUAAGUUCUGAUGAAGGGUCUUGGCCCGAAACAUCAACAGUGCUUCUCCUAUAGAUGCUGCCUGGCCUGCUGUGUUCCACCAGCAUUUUGUGUGUGUCGUUGCUUGAAUUUCCAGAAUCUGCAGAUUUCCUCGUGUUCACAGGUGAAGUGUUGCCUCACCUGGAUGGACUGUCUGGGGCACUGAAUGGUAGUGAGGAAGGAGGUGUAGGGGUAGGUGUAGCACUUGUUCCACUUGCAAGGAUAAGUGCCAGGAGGGAGAUCAGUGGAGAGGGACAAAUGGUCAAGAGCGUCAUGUAGGGAGCGAUCCCUGCAGAAAGCAGGGGAGGGGGAGGGAAAGAUGUGCUUGGCUGUGUGAUACCACUAGAGAUGACGAUAUUGCAGAGAAUUUAUGUGCUGGAUGUAGAGGCUGGUGGAGUGGUAGGUGACAAAAGCAGAUCUGGCUCCUUCACCACACUUGCAUUCCUUUAAAUACAAAUUAUCACAAAAUAUGAGCUGGAAAUUUACAGUGAGCAGAGCUCUUUCACAGAGGCUUAAGGCAGUCACAAAUAAUUCUUCUCUGCUUUGUUGACAGAUGCAUUAACCUGUUUAUUAAUGUAGUGCAGAUAGGAACCUGAUAUAAAUCUGUAAAGCGUUUCUGUGAUAACAUCACACACAGUAGUUUCCGAUGUAUUAUGUUACAUAAGCAUUGGGUUCACCACAAAUAUCAACGUGAAGCGAAAGUAAUGAGCAGUAUUCAUUUACCAUCCAAACUAAUUCCAAACAAAACCUUAAAUCUAAAGCUGAUUUCUUCAUGGUUUAAACUUGAAAAGAUUUUUAUCUUUAGUAAUCAUUUUAAAACAUGCCUCACUUGAUUUCAUGAUGUGUGUGAGACUCCUACAGUGAGGGCAGGAAAUGAACUCAUUCAUGCACUCAUGGUUUCUGAUGCUGAUCUCAGCACAGACCACAAGCACUUGUCUGUGACCUUAGCUCUAGCAGUCUCUCACCAUUAAAUUGUAAAACUGAAUAUAAAAUGCAUCUGGUAAGCAUAUGAAUGGAAAGUCUAUUUAAUUAGGUUUACUUCUAGCAUUGUUUGUUACAAUGGUAAACAGUCAAGUAUCACGAUGAAUUCAAAAAUACUGAGUUGGGAUAGCAAGACUGAGAAAAAUAUUUGAAUUACCUGCUUUCAAUAUGUACAAUACUGCAAAUUUAACAUUUCUUAUCCAGUACAAGGGGAAAAAAUAUACAUACUUACUGAUCUCAGGUUAAACACAAGACAUACAAGAAAUACAAAAUGUUUUGUCCCACUUGUUUGCUGGUAACAACAUGGCAUUUUGAGCCAAUGCUUCUAUUUUGAUAUCAGAUCAUUAUAAAACACAUUAUGUUCAUUCUUGGAUUGAGUUUAUGUAAUUUCAGGGUCUUAGAUCAAUUUUUGAAUGAAGAAUUCCUUGAAAAAUAUUAAAAUCCAUUUUAUUAACCAGAAUGCUCUCUAUUAAAAUAGAUUUUCUAUUCACCUGCUUAUCAGAUAAAUACUUUGGUGGAAUCAGUGCAUUCUGAGCAUGCUACAUUUGAUUUCUUUGUCAGACACAUUAUAAUGUCAGAUUUGAAUCAAUUUACAAUUGCUACAUAACCUGUAGGGAAAAUAAAUUCAUGUAACAAAUUAAUGUUAACAAUUUGGUGAAUACAGGACCUAGAAACUAUUAAUCAGUACUUUUUGUAAUGACUGGUAUAAAUUGGACAGCUAUAACAUAACCAAAGUUUACCAGCUUAGUUACAACUGAUUGAAUACACUGACGGUGAUCGGAUAAUAAAACCAUGCCACCCUUACCUGAUUGAUUCUCCAGACCUACU